AGAUCGAAAAAAUCGCUAUCUCGCCGAGUCGCCAGUCACCGCCUCGACGCCGGUCGCCGUACCGCCGGCGCUGCACGCCCCCCUCCAAGCCGUCGCCCCAUCGCCCCCAGCCGCCCAGUGGUGGGGCGGCGGAUGCCGAGCUUGGCGAGGUUGCCGAGGACGAACCAGGCGAGGAGGACGAGGAUCUUGUCGACGAGCCAGAGCGGGAGCCACGCCAUGAGCAACACGGCGAGCUCGAACGUGGACUUGCCGAGCACCUCGCCAGGGAGGACGUGGACGGCGUCGCGCACCACCAUCGCCGGGAGGGCGCUGUGGUCGCACAGGUCGAGCGACACCACCAUGCCGGAGUUGCCGCACCCGACGACGAGCACCUUCUUGCCGCGGUACGCCUCGCCGGACUUGUAGACCGCGACAUGCAUCACCUCGCUGCUAUAUUUGUUCUUGGACUGUGGAGACUUGCUGUCAGUGGGUGUGUUCAGAAUUGCUGCUGCAGCUUGCAGCGAAUUUGUGAUGCAGCAGCUGCAGCUUGUAUGGCUGCCGAGUAGAGCGAGUGUUGCUAUCUGUUUUUGUUCUCUUUUUCAGAAAUUUCGCCCGCAAAUUUUAAAUUUGAAUUCAAAUUUUUAAAAGAACUAG
rnacentral:sRNA from 1 species